rnacentral:rRNA from 1 species
UACGGGGGGGGCAAGCGUUGUUCGGAAUUACUGGGCGUAAAGGGCUCGUAGGUGGCCAACUAAGUCAGACGUGAAAUCCCUCAGCUUAACUGGGGAACUGCGUCUGAGACUGGUGAGCUUGAGUGCAGGAGAGGAACGCGGAAUUCCAGGUGUAGCGGUGAAAUGCGUAGAUAUCAGGAAGAACACCCGUGGCUAAGGCGGCUCUCUAGUACGGUACUGACGCUGAGACGCGAAAGCGUGGGGAGCGAACAGG